rnacentral:rRNA from 1 species
UUAAAACUGAGGUGGUAUAAGAUGGGCAUGCGUCUGAUUAGGUAGUUGGUGAGGUAACGGCUCACCAAGACUACGAUGACUAGGGGGUCUGAGAGGAUGAUCCCCCACACUGGUACUGAGACACGGACCAGACUCCUACGGGAGGCAGCAGUAGGGAAUCUUCGGCAAUGGACGCAAGUCUGACCGAGCAACGCCGCGUGCAGGAUGACGGCCCUAUGGGUUGUAAACUGCUUUUAUACACCAAGAAAAACAUCCACGUGUGGGUGCCCGACGGUAGUGUAUGAAUAAGCAUCGGCUAACUCCGUGCCAGCAGCCGCGGUAAUACGGAGGAUGCAAGCGUUAUCCGGAUUCAUUGGGUUUAAAGGGGUGCGUAGGCGGCUUUUUAAGUCAGUGGUGAAAUCCUGCCGCUUAACGGUAGAAUUGCCAUUGAUACUGAAAAGCUUGAGUACAUUUGAGGUAAGCGGAAUGUGUAGUGUAGCGGUGAAAUGCAUAGAUAUGACACAGAACGCCGAUUGCGAAGGCAGCUUACUAAGCCAUUACUGACGCUGAGGCACGAAAGCGUGGGGAUCGAACAGGAUUAGAUACCCUGGUAGUCCACGCCGUAAACGAUGAUCUGGUGUUGCGAUAUACAGCAAGCGGCUGAGCGAAAGCAUUAAGUGAUCCACCUGGGGAGUACGAUCGCAAGGUUGAAACUCAAAGGAAUUGACGGGGGCCCGCACAAGCGGAGGAACAUGUGGUUUAAUUCGAUGAUACGCGAGGAACCUUACCUGGGCUUAAAUGUAGGCUGCAUUCGGCUGAAAGGCUGAUUCCCUUCGGACGAUCUACAAGGUGCUGCAUGGUUGUCGUCAGCUCGUGCCGUGAGGUGUCGGGUUAAGUCCCAUAACGAGCGCAACCCUUAUCGUUAGUUGCCAGCGGGUCAAGCCGGGGACUCUAGCGAGACUGCCACCGUAAGGUGUGAGGAAGGUGGGGAUGACGUCAAAUCAGCACGGCCCUUAUGUCCAGGGCUACACACGUGUUACAAUGGCCGAUACAAAGGGCAGCUACCAGGUGACUGGAUGCUAAUCUCUAAAGUCGGUCUCAGUUCGGAUCGAAGUCUGCAACCCGACUUCGUGAAGCUGGAUUCGCUAGUAAUCGCAUAUCAGCCAUGGCGCGGUGAAUACGUUCCCGGGCCUUGUACACACC